CCUACGGGAGGCAGCAGUGAGGAAUAUUGGUCAAUGGGCGCGAGCCUGAACCAGCCAAGUAGCGUGAAGGAUGACUGCCCUACGGGUUGUAAACUUCUUUUAUCAAGGAAUAAAGUGAGGCACGUGUGCCUUUUUGUAUGUACUUUAUGAAUAAGGAUCGGCUAACUCCGUGCCAGCAGCCGCGGUAAUACGGAGGAUCCGAGCGUUAGCCGGAGUGAUGGGGUGGAAAGGGAGCGUAGAUGGGUUGUUAAGUCAGUUGUGAAAGUUUGCGGCUCAACCGUAAAAUUGCAAUUGAUAUUGGCAGUCUUGAGUUCAGUUGAGGUAGUCGGCAUUCGUGGUGUAGCGGUGAAAUGCUU
rnacentral:rRNA from 1 species